rnacentral:lncRNA from 1 species
UCUAAAGACAAAAAGGAAAGAGUCAACUGUGUGCCCAAACUCAUUUCUGAUGAUUUCUUCCAUCCUACCCCUUCUGCCUCUCUGGGGGUGGCUGUGCCUGUAAAAAACAUUGAAAUUGUCAGGAACAGAGUCAGCUUUCAAGAUUGGAAUGUCAGAGUAGAGUCUUCUUUUCUUUGGACCAGAGGAGGCUUGGUUCGAUUUAUGAUCUUUGAUGUCUCUCCUUUCCUAGUCUUGGUGCUUCUCCAAUUUAAUUGUUUGGAAGCAGUCACUGGAAGCAACACUAUGUGACUCAGCUUUGGUGAUACAGUCCAGCUGGGGUCUGACAGGUAAAUAAUUACCACUCAUCAGGGCCUAAAUGAAUUUAGGUUCUUUAAAGUCAGAUGUGGGGAAGGGGGUAAGGGUUAUAAAUGAACUGUUAGCAAUAUCAGGAGAAAUAGGAGCUGAGCAGUCUAGUCUUAGCCGAAAACAACAAAGAGAAGAGUUAACAAAAUAAGACCUCCACUGCCACAUGUAUUAUAGCACAGAGCCCUCUGGCUGGGGCUCUCUCAUUCCCCAUCCAGGCAUAAUGAGCUUCGGGAUCUUAGGAGCCUCUCCGUAAAACUGAGUUGGGUGAUGAGCUAUUUCCUUUUCAAUCCUCACAAGGUAUAAGCUGAUGAUUUCAUGAUGCAGAAUUCAGAUUUCUUAACAUAAAAAGG